UGGCUCAUUAAAACAGUUACAGUUUACUUGAUAAUAAAAUUUUACAUGGAUAACCGUGGUAAUUCUAGAGCUAAUACAUGAGCAAAAUCUUGACUUUUUUGGAAAAGAUGCAUUUAUUAGAUAAAAAACCAAUACAUACUUUUUAAGUAUGAAAGUUGGUGAUUUACAAUAACUUAGCAAAUCGCAUUGUGAAAACUGGCGAUAAAUCAUUCAAGUUUCUGACCUAUCAGCUUUCGACGGUAUGGUAUUGGCUUACCGUGGCAGUGACGGUUAACGGGGGAUUAGGGUUCGAUUCCGGAGAGGGAGCCUGAGAAACGGCUACCACAUCUAAGGAAGGCAGCAGGCGCGCAAAUUACCCAAUUCUAACAGCAUAAGAGAGGUAGUGACAAGAAAUAACAAUACAAGGCAGUUAAAAUGCUUUGUAAUUGGAAUGAUAGAAAUUUAAACACUUUUUAAAGUAUCAAUUGGAGGGCAAGUCUGGUGCCAGCAGCCGCGGUAAUUCCAGCUCCAAUAGCGUAUAUUAAAAUUGUUGCAGUUAAAAAGCUCGUAGUUGAAUUUCUGCUUAAAAUAACCGGUCUGCUUUUAACAAAAGUGGUAUCUUGGUGUGUUUUUAGCAAUAUUGUCCUUUGAAAUGUGUUUUACUUUGUUGUAAAAAACAAUAUUCAGGAAUUUUACUUUGAGAAAAUUAGAGUGUUUCUAGCAGGCUAAUGCUUUGAAUACUGCAGCAUGGAAUAAUAAAAUAGGAAUUUGGUUCUACAUUAUUGGUUU
rnacentral:rRNA from 1 species